UACGUAGGUGGCAAGCAUUAUCCGGAUUUACUGGGUGUAAAGGGCGUGUAGGCGGGACUGCAAGUCAGAUGUGAGACCCAUGGGCUCAACCCAUGGCCUGCAUUUGAAACUGUAGUUCUUGAGUGAUGGAGAGGCAGGCGGAAUUCCGUGUGUAGCGGUGAAAUGCGUAGAUAUACGGAGGAACACCAGUGGCGAAGGCGGCCUGCUGGACAUUAACUGACGCUGAGGCGCGAAAGCGUGGGGAGCAAACAGG
rnacentral:rRNA from 1 species